rnacentral:rRNA from 1 species
GCUUGUCUCAAAGAUUAAGCCAUGCAUGUCUAAGUAUAAACGACUUUAUACUGUGAAACUGCGAAUGGCUCAUUAUAUCAGUUAUAGUUUAUUUGAUGGUCCUUGCUACUUGGAUAACCGUAGUAAUUCUAGAGCUAAUACAUGCAUCAAACCUCGACUUUUUUGGAAGAGGUGUAUUUAUUAGAUGGAAACCAAUGCGGGGCAACCCGGAUUCAGGUGAUUCAUAAUAACUUUCGGAUCGAUCUUCGGAUCGAUGCAUCAUUCAAGUUUCUGCCCUAUCAGCUUUGGAUGGUAGGGUAUUGGCCUACCAUGGCUUUAACGGGUAACGGAGAAUUAGGGUUCGAUUCCGGAGAGGGAGCCUGAGAAACGGCUACCACAUCCAAGGAAGGCAGCAGG